CUUGUGCCGUGGAUGUGGCUGAGGGCCUAGGGUGGGGAGAAGUCUCCACAGGUGGGAUUGAACUCCCCAGGCACAUGGUCCUUGUGGUGCUGGUGGAGAGAGAGUCCCAGAGGGUUCGGACAUGCUCCGUUAAAACCUUUUCCUCAAGGUGAUAGGUACGUGUCAAGGUGACCCCUGUCCGCCAUCCGGCAGGCUGGAAGAAGCCGAUUCACAAGUGUUCACACAUUUAGGCAAGAAGCCCUAAGUCCUAACCCUGGACAUGUGGAUUGUCCAGGACCAUCCCAG
rnacentral:lncRNA from 1 species